rnacentral:lncRNA from 1 species
ACAAAAGAAAUUUGACUCCAUCAAAGGAGAAAACUUGCAUUAGAAUUUAAUUCAACAAAAUUUCCAAAGCACUAGAUCACUUUCAAUCUGUUGUGUUGCCUUCUCAAAUGAUAAAGAAACCAUUGCAAAAUCCCAAACAGAAUGAGUAUGGAGAAGAACAAUUUGGGUUAAGAACAAAAUUUAUUGAAUACCCAAAUGCAAUGGACAGUGGUCCCCUAAUCCAACGGAUUGUAGCACAGGUACCAUAUUUAUAAUAAUAGUCCUGCACCUAUCACAUCAUUCAUCACUGUGUUUUUUUUUUAGAGAUGAUUUCUAUUUUUAAUGAAUUGGGUGGCUUAUUUAACUAGUUGCACCAUUAUUCAUAGUGGUUGAUUAAUUUUGCAUAAAUUGAUUAUACUUCAGGUCAAUCCUAUCUAAAUAUUUAGAGGUCUUAUUCUAAUUUCAGGUUCAGUCAAGUGAAAAAGUAACCUCAAAUCAUCUAUCUCGAAUGAAUGAAGAAGGGAUAGAGAUAGUAUGAAGGAUGUAGGACGUCAUCUUCUAAAAAAAAUUAGGGUUAGUUGGAUAUAGCCAAGUUAACAUAUA